AGCCACGCAGGAGCAGGGCACUCUCCCGGCUGGAAGCCCGCUGAUGCAGUGACAAAGGGGACCUGGGCUGAGGCCCUGCUCAGGCCCAGGUUCCUGUGGUAAAGUGAGGUGAGCUCAUGUGAAGAUGUACCCGGUGAGAAGCAAAUCCGAACCCACGCUUAACACCCAGAUCCACGCUCCGCCCCGAAGGAAUGCUGAGUAACAGAAGCACCUUUUUGAAAAUGCCAUCGGUUUCCUAAAAAGCACAUAAGGAGGACACAUUUCCAGGUACCAUAGAAGAAGGCAAAACUGAAAGAUGGAGCACCCAGCAGGGGCUGAGACCAAGAACCUUAUGGGCUAUUGGAACCAGAAAUACAUCUUAGGGGAUGAGAAGCUAGCAGCUGCCUGGAGACAUUCAGGGAGUGGCAGAUGCUGUGAGCAGGUAGAGCUGGGCGGGACCAGCUCUGCAGAGCCAGGAGUGGGCCUGGGGCAUCAUCUCUGCAUACAGAUGAGCAGUGCCCGGCCUUCUGGACCAGGUGGCGCAGCAUGAAAGCCUCUGCCCACCCUGGCCUCCAAGUGUGCCUGGCGUGUGGGGCUUCAGGUCACACUGUCUGUGCUGUUUGGAAAUUUUGAGUGGGAAUUGACUGCACCCUCUAGGUCCCCAGCCCAGGGAGAAGAUCAUUUCCCAGGGAGAGGUGCCUGUACAACUGGGGGGUGUUUCUGGGACACCAGAGAAGGUCAGUUUCUGAGGAAGACGGGCUCAUGCACCUGUGGAAACUCCAAUCACAAGGAUCGACGGACUCAAGUUCCAUCUGAGGAGCUUCCGAGAAGGGAGAAAUCAAAAUGUGCCUUUGGUCAUUCAAAACACAUUUUUAAAGGGAAACAAGGUACAUAGCUCAAAUUUCCACAAUAAGACUUGAAAAAAAGGAUAAUCACAAAAUGAGAAAUAGAGUCCCUGUCAUAAAGUGAGUGGGUGUACUAGGUCUCCUGGUCUCUGCCAGCCUUCUUCUGCAGUGUUACAUCCUAGGAACAGGGACAGGUGUCACUUGACCUUGAACCUCAGUGGACUUGCAUAGUUCCUGUGCUGUGUAGGCACGUACUAUACAUGCACCUGCUGAAUGGAGAGAUUGUCGAUGUGAGUGUCCAUCAUGAGCUGCGACUUCCAGGGUGUUUAGCUAUGGACUGUGGCCGCCCCCAGUCCCUUCCACUCCAGCCAGGCCCAGGGGACCUAGCUGAGUCCACAAGGGAUCAGUGUGCAUUGCUGGAGAGGAGACCCCAGGAGGGAAAUAGCACCUCCUUCUGGGUCCAACAUUCUGCAGUGCAAGAGACCCAGUGUGCGCUGUGGAUCUCAUCACCGUGCUGGUGGAAGCCCAGAAGGUCUCCCUGGGCCGGCUGAUGCGUGCAAGCUCCCCUCAGCGGCUUCCCUGUCCAUCCGCUGCUCUCACGCCAUUUAUUGCGUUCUCUAGUCCUGUGCUAAAGAGGAUCUUUGAGGAAUGACUGAUACGGUAAUGAUCUACGGAACUUACUGUAGAUAGCAAUUAAAUAUGGCUAAUAGCCAGGUUACGCUGACACAUUAAAAGGCCCACAGGCUGCAAUUUAUGAAGACAGCCCUGCUGCCUCAUUUGUGUCUGAUGCAUUUCUCUGGUUUCUGCUUAGGAGGUCUCGUCUCAGAAGAAAAUGAUUUCUAGGCCUCCACCAGAGUCCCUCCAGUUGCCAGACCACCCAAAAUUGCUUUAGCACAGCUUUAUCACCCUCAUUGCAUCUCAUAAUGUCCUCAGGGUGCCUGCUGGCCUUUAUCUAAACGUGAGGCUCUGUCAACAUUUCUUUGUGCAGAAAAAGGCAAGUGCAAUGGAAGAGAAAUCUUAGAUAUAAUAGUGGGCAGAAUCCUCAUUCGUGUUGUAAGAUGAUCAGAUGACAAGAACGGACACUAAGUGCUGGGAUCCCUGUCCUAAACUUUGUUGAUGCCUGGGUAUAAUAGACAAUAGACAUUCAGCAGAGACAGGGCGCUAUCUAUCUCCCCCAGUGGCCAGCAGCCUCCAUAACGUCACGCCCUGUUUAUCCAGAAACUUUACCCAUGGUAAGUCUCUGGAAGGAAGAAAAGAGCGUGCUUCUGAGAAGCCAAAAUGCCAACAAAAACUGUUGGGCAGCUCACAAGCGGCCCACUAGACAAGAGGUGACGAGGCCAUCCCAGGGUCCCCCCCACCGCUGGCCCCCUGCCCUCACUGGCCGCUCGUUCCAGCACGCGCACAUCGUUAGCAGUCAGGGAGGAGGGGAAACGCCUGCUGGCUGCUCCUGUCCUGGACCUUCACCAAGACACUACUGACUAAAAAUAGAAACAAUGUUAAUACUGUAAUUUUGCACGGCGUGUUAUUAGGAUAUCCUUGGUGUUUUUUCCCCUUCUGUGGACACGUUUCCUUCCCCAUUCCUGAGGAAACAGCCAAGGCAGUGAGCUCUCUUGCCCCUGGGAUUACCUACACUUCCGUGUCCUAGUGCCAAACACAGAAGUGUCCUGAUGCAAGGUCUGGUUUUUGGAAGCCUGGGUUUCCCGGGGAGUCAAGCUGGCUCAGCCGGACUAGGAAGCAACCAAGGUGCGGCGUAGUCAGUGAGAAGAGAACCGCCAGAACAGGUGGGGACCCGGGGUGUCACGGGGCCAGGAGUGGGAUCACUUCUUGUCGAUUUUGUGUCUCUGCUGUUCAGUUAGUCCCUGGCCCCAGACACAGAGAUGCUGGGGACUGUGUGACCCCUGAACGCUGAGCGAUGACCUUGGGGAAAGCGAGAGAUUCAGCUCCGACACAGCCCGCCUCAAAACGGGAGGGUGUAGGAUGGACAAUACCUUAUCUGUGGGAUACUUGGGUGCCAAGAGCAGAGAACACUUCUUUGACUGUUUGGAAUGUAUAGAACCUUCUAGAAUUUUGUGCAAGUCCAGAAAGAAUGACUCAAAACAUGACUGAGAUUAAUUUAUAACCAGCAGGUUGAAGAGAAAUUUGCAUCAGAUUUAAUUUAAUUUGGUGAAACAACAGCAUACAAUGGUUCUUCCACUGUGGUCCAAAAUUCUAAUUUAGAGACUGCUGGUGAGAUGAAUUUCCCCGAAGAGGGAAGGAUGUGGAAGGUGAUGCUACAGCCCCCAUCUCCGGUGUGUGGAUUUCUAGGAUAACAGAAACUGUCUUCCCGAGUGAGAAUGGCACGCAAGUCUGCCUUGCAGAAUGCCAGGGACAGGGAUUACCUGUCUUACCUGUGGUACAGGUGCAAAGAGGUUCCAGGUUGUGAGCCCGCUGCCAGUUACAAAAAUGACCUGUCCACUAAAGUCAAAGCUUUCCCCCCAGCUUUACAGUGAUAUAAGUGGCAAAAAAAUGUGUAUGUAUUUAGGGUGCACAACUUGAUGAUUUGAUAUACACCUACAUUGUGAACUAAGCACCACGAUCAAGCUAAUUAACAUAUCCAGCCCAUCACAUAGAACUUAGUCAGGGCAGGAGGGGAGUGGGCAGCUCGCUGCGCCCACGGUGCCCGAGUCUUGGGGAGGAGAAGAGGAGCUGGGGAAGCCUGAGGAAGAGAAGUGGGACGUCCACCCGGGAUCUGUCGCGGGGCGCGCCGGGCUAGCCGGCCCCCCUGCCCGCACCGCUCGUUGCCCAGGCCCAGCGUGGGCUUUGCCCCGAGUGCUGGUGGCAGUCAAGCGGGAGGACAGGCCGGGAAUGAACGCGCAUCUCACCACCCGGGCGUGCUGGGCUCACAGGCGCAGGUGCGGGUGGAGAGGGGCCCGCGGCAGCCCCAGGUGUCCUCUCACACAUGCCCCAGGCCUGCAGAAACGCUGCGCCUGGGCCACUCCACCUCUGCAAAGCUGUUUUAGACCUUCGCCUCCAAGUCCACGCGGAGUGAGAUUAAGGAAGGAAAAUCUAUUGAGAUGAUUCUGUGGGACUUCUCCUGUUAAAAUAAACCUCAUCAUUCCCUGAGCUCUUUGAUACUAAGGAAGUGAUCACCACAGGCUUUGAAACCAGGCAGCUCGGGGUGCCUGUCCCACUCUCCCUGCUUGCUGAGGCAUGGUCUCUGCCAUCUUCUCUGCUACUCCAGCUUCUUGGUCAUCCUGCAGAGAUGCACGUGCCUCCCAUCUGCCAUCCGACACUGUGAGCAGCAGACGGACUUCACACUGUCAUUGCCAGGCUUGCUGCGGCCCACGGUGAUUUUUCAAGGGAGGCAGACACAGACUCACUCAUUCCUUCUCUUUCUUCCUUGCUCUGAAAGAUUCUACGAAAACCACAUUAAAAAGCGUGUAAGCUGAGCAACUCCAUCUAUCAAAGGAAGGUCAUCAGCAGGGUCCACUCCAAGGAUACACUGUGUGUUACCAGCUUUCCACACAAAGCAUGAAGACCAGCGUCCUCUUCAUGGACCUAAUCUCCAUUUCACCCCCAAACAGCAUCUGCCUGAAAGCUGGGACACAAAAUCUUUCCUCUAUCAGAAGAAUUUCAUUUGCUGCAAUGCAUGUGGCAAACAUUCAGGGCCCAAGACAUUCUCUGAACAGCCAGGUUCUGUUUGGUGUCACUGGUGGUGAUUGUAGGUCGUUUGGUGCUGGGCCCAUUCUGCAGAUUGGUCCUGUUCACAUGGCAUAAGCCCCUGGCCUGCCCGGAAUGCUGCCUGUCUGACCUCCUGGAAAUCUUGCCGUCGCCAGAAUUGUGCUAGCUCAAGGCUCCCCCUACCUCCCAACCCCAAGACAUGGCUGCAUUCCCAGGGAGGGGCCCUGAUGUGCUGGGUCUGCCUCCCACCAUGUCUGCUGUCUUCCGAACCAAAGGAGGUUGGUGCACACCCAGCCCAGCCCAGAGGCAGCUCAACCCACCCCAGAGACAGCGAUGGGCCGCAGUGGCCCAAGCCACUAUACCGUGGUGGCCUGUGGGAGGACCACUGCCCUGUGUUAUGAAUAGGGAAGCUAAGGUCAUUGCUGAUGUGUGCUGGAUACAAAGGAAGUGCAAGUCAGAGAUCCUUGUCCUGCGGCCUCUCUUGAAAAAUGACCGAUCCGAGAAGCUAUAAAUGGAACGGUGGGAAGAGGUUUUCCUGUACCUGGGAGAUGGCUCCCUGCCAGGCUGGCCCAUUAGACACCUGCUCCUGUCUGUGUGCAGGCCCCCCACGGCCCCGCCCCCUGGACACACCGCCCUCUGCUGUCCCCUUGCAUCGCCCUUGACAUCGCCCUUACUGUGCGCUCCUCCUGCAGGCUCAGGACCCCCGUGGAUGCCCUCAUCCUGCAAUUGUUUGGUUCUUCCAUUAUCAGCUCGAAGCUCGCUCAGUCUAUGGGGCUGAGAAAGCAUUUUUAUUAUAUCCUUUUAAUUAUUCAGAUAAAAGGUUCCUAGACCCUGAUUUAUCUCUGCUGCCUAAAGAAAAAUGGAGAGUUAAAUGCAAUUCCACUUUGAAAAUUACAACCUUAAAAACAAAAUUAUGGCUCAACUGAAGGUGUCCAGGGAAAUGUGCCCAUUGAAUAAGCUUGAUGAUUUUUAUCAUUUCAAGUACAUUGCCAUUACCAUCAUUUAUUAACCAUGUUAGAGACCAGGAACUGGAUAUUAUUAGUUCACCUUUUCAGAUAAGCAAGGGUGCUCACAAUCUCCUAGAGUGGGAUCUAAUUUGGUGGCUGGAAGAAAAAAGGAGAAAGAUCUUACAAGAAAGAUCUGGUUUCUAAAUCACACAUAACAAACAUCUCGUGAAAUCAUGGAGAAGAGUAGAGGCCUGAAACGGUCUCACGUUUAUGUCCCGUGAGAAGCAGCUCAGUUCCGUGGGGAAGUAGUUUGACAUCAAGGAUUCAGUCUCAUGCCUCACACAGACACAGACACACGCACACAGACACGCACACACAGACGCAUACACAGAGACACACACAGACACACACACACACACAGGCUCUAGGAGGGUCCAAGCAAAAUGUCCCUGUGCAUCAAGAAAAGGGCAACAUCUGCUGACUUGCGGCCCUGUGCUCUGGGGGUCCCAUGCGGCUGGACUAGGCCACCAUGCAGGAGCUUGAGCAUGCCGGACCCUGGACCCAUGCCCCCUCUUUCCAAAGGCCCUGUGGGGCUGGUGCGCCCACAGCACACCCCGAGGUUUAGCGCCUCAGUGUCUCCAGUUUCCUCCAUCCCAGUGAAGCUUCUCAGUUAUGCUCACAAUUUUUUCAUUUCCUAAGACUCACCCAUUCCCACAGUCCCUCACCGAGGGCUCUACCAGUUUUCUCAGUAUUCCCACUGACACCCAAGACUUUAAUUUCCAAUUUUAUGCUCACGAUGUUGACACCUUUAUAUCCCACUCACAUCUCUCUGUGGAAUCCCAGACACACGGUUUCAAAGUCUGCAGGUCAGUUCUGCCUGAGAAUAACCAAGGCCCCUUGACCUCCCCUCGACCCCGCAGGUGAUGUGUCCGUGUUCUUCUCUCCCGGCCUUGUCCUGCACCACUUGAUGCUUCUCAUGUUGUCUGUCUUCAAUCAGUGGCGUUCCCAUAAUUAGCCCAAACUAGAAAUCUAGUCCCUUCACACACACACACACACACACACACGCACACACACACACACCUCUAAUUUAUUUACUAAACUCUGUUUCUUCUGCUGCUGCAAGAGUUCUGGUGUCCUCUCUUCCCUCUGACGGCUGUCACUCCCGGCUUCCGACCCCCACCAUUCUUGCCCACAAAGCAAAAGCACCUGACCUGUUUCCAUAUUUGGGUCACUCUUCACCCUCCAACCUGUCUCCCACCUGCCUCCAGAAUUACUUUUCACACAUCAAGCUUUGUUUCCCAGCAGUUAAAGAAUAAGCUUCUUAGCUUAUUACACCUGUGCUUCCAACCUCCCUGCACACCUGUGCAGGCCCCUGGUCACCCGACCCCCUUCAAAACCCGUGCCAGUCCCAGAGGCUGCGCUCUGGGUUUGCAACUUGGAAUACCUUUCUUUUCCUUUGGUUGCAAAAUACAUUUUCAAGACCUCUGUAAAUGUUAUUUGUACUACAUGCCACAUGGUAUAUGCUAUGUGAUGUGUGCUCUGUGGUAUAUGCCAUUUGGCAUGUACUGUAUAGAAUGUGCAAUCAGAUCUGGUGAAUCAAAGUAAAAGGCUCAUCACAUUCUCACUUCUGCCUCCAACUCCGGGCGUCCUGCCCUUUGCCACGCGCCACUGCAGCAAGUUCCAGGUAAACUAGGUGGCGCUGAAAUUGGGAGGGUCUGGGAGCCUCUGUGUGACUGAUGUCUCGGGCACUGGGAUGGAGCCCAGCUCAGACUUCUCCUCUGUGCGCUGAGCCAAAUGGCCUGCCAGGGAGACCACGGACUCACCUAACUCCUGUUCUUCUCUGGCCCUUUGCUUCACCCGCACACUUCCAGGUCUCGGCUUUCCCAUGAAGUGCUCCAGGCUCCCUGAUACUGUAAAAGCCCACAUAGUGCAGGAGGUGGGAGGCGCACCGGAAGGGAGCCGCUCCCGUGACCUGCCCUGGGUGCAGUUGACUUGUACGCCUACGCAGAGGACGGGCUUCACUCUGACUCGCUGUGGCACUUACAUAAUACUGGUUUCACAUUUGUUUCCUGCAUCCUGACCAAAAUAAGGUGUAAUAGUCAUAGAUGAUGUCCCGAGAGGUUUUGGCCAUUCUUACUUACAAUCACUAAUUGAAGGUGUAAGUCAUAAGUACACAUCUCGCAUGAUAUUGCAUAAAGUGUAUCGAACUUUAGCGGGAAAAGAUCACCUGGGAGACCCUGAGAAGCAUAGCUGGCCUGAGCUCUAGAGACCCUGAGGUACCAUCUGCCUUCCGUUAGAGAUACCCUGCCUCCAGCAAGAGAAUGUAAGAGCAGAGAAAAAAGCGAAGGACAGACAAUAAAUGUGGACAUGAUGAGCACAGCUGUUUUAUGGCUCACGGAAGCCCUGUGUCUGCAGAGUCAGGAGUCUCAGUGAGUCGGAAGAAGGAGAGAUGCAAAUAAAUCCAUUCCUGAACUAUGAUCACAGUGAAAUUGAAUGCUACCAAAGAGGAGGAUGCGAUCUUAGAAAAACACAGAGAAAAGACAGAGCAUCUACAACAAACUGUUGUCUGAUAGGAGACUUCUCAACAAUGCUCAGGGAGGCAGAGAGACCCAUGCAGGAAGUCUUGACUGCCUGAGAGAGGGGGACAUGCCAAACGGCCAAGGGAUCCGUCCCUGCCUGUUGGCGGAGCUCAGAGCUAGUUACAUUGGCCUAUUCAUUCAGCACCAGGAGAGGUAAUUCCGGCGCCCCUGGCUGCAGUGUCCUCAUGGGGCAGUUGGCAGUGCUGACGGGUGGCUCGAGGAGUCCAUGCAAGUUAAGAGAAGAGGGACCCUGACUGCUGUCAGAUGAAAAACACCUUUUAAGGACAAAGAUAAGUGUAACGUGCCUGGCUGAGUCUCUGUAUAGCGCUAUGUAGAACUGAGGUGUUUUUAUUUCUCCCCUGAAAUUAUGUUCCUUUCCAGCAGUUACUCCAAAGGCUGAGCCAUACAGAUUCUAGCCCCAGAGCAGGAGAGAGCAGGUGGCAAGGUGUUUUAGGGACUCUAAAUUUUUAAUGUUGAUUUUCUUGAUCUCAUCAGAAUCAGAGAGAUCACAGAGAGAGAAGACAUUGUCAUAUUUUAAAUCCCCCCUUCUGUAUAUCAAGGCUUAGAUUUGAUCACAGAAUUUUCUGCAGGUAGGUCCAUGAGAGUGGAGAGAGGGAGGCAGAGAGAAAGACAAGGAGACUGAGAGGGAGAUGUGCUGAGGCUGUCUAGUCGUCCAGGGAGGGGGUGAGGAGGGGAAACAUGGGCAGGGCCAGGAGGGUGAGGGGUGCAGGUGAACGAUGGUAGGUGGGCUACAACAGCUCUUUGCUCAGCUAUCUGUAGGGCUUGAUUUAUUGUGCCUUUUCUUUAAUAUCACUUCCUCAGGAAAAUCUUCCCUGGUCAUCUUGAAUAAAAUAACAUACGCCCCCUCCUCUGUCUCCUUCUCUUUUUCAGUUAAGCUUGCUUUGUCUGUAAACACCCUCCCUCCUUACACUGGACAUCUACAUCUGGGUGGGGUCACUGUCAGCCCUCUUUCUGGAAUGCCUUAUCCCUUGCUCUCUCCCAGAGCCUGGGCGUGGCAUACGUACCACACUGCCCAUACAGACAGUGGACGAGGGGAAAGCUGCAAUCUGAAGGGGCUUAGCUUGGCCUGGUCUCCAGGACCGCCGCAGGGAAGACCUCACAGAGUGCUCCGUGCACCAGCAUAAGGAAACCAUGUCACGUCCAGUUAGCACAGCCGGCCAGAGGGGAGGCUGCCCACAGGGACCUACCUGAAGGAACGCAGUGACAUGAAAGUCAACCUACAUGAAAGACAGAAUGGAUCUGUGUGUGCGGGUCUAACAAGGAUUGGUUGUGAGCUCUCAAGGCCAUGGGAACCUGAUCCAGAAUCCACGGAGUUUCGCUUGUUCAGUUACACAGUGAGCGCCAUCGUAAUUAGAAAUACAAUUAUGUGGAAAGAAAUCCACUUCCUUUUCCUCCUUUAACAAAUAAAGACGUGCAUUUUGCAUUAACAGUAAGGAAUAAAUAAUAAGCUAGAAUAGAAAUUAUGACACAAUGGUGUAAUGUCUAUAGAUUUCUAUGGUCCC